CAUCCCCGUCUUAGCAUCUUCACCUGAGGCAGCUGCUUCAUUUCACACUGCAAGGAGAGAGAGAGACCUGAGCCUGAGAUGGCUGCAGUGUGUCAGGAUUAAGAAGCUCGAGCAGGGCUUGCACAAUGUUGCCUGUGCUUGCCAGCGGCCAGGACUACCAGCGCCUUGGCUCUCCUGCGUGUGUACGCGGGGAUAUGACGCUUCGCUUCUGUGUGAGGGGCAGAGAAGGGAUGCAGGUGCCUAUUUUGGAUGGGCUGGACUGUUGCCAAAGAAUGCAAAGCUGAUAAAAUACUGUAGUGCUGGAAAU